GAUGAACGCUGGCGGCGUGCCUAAUGCAUGCAAGUCGAGCGAACGGACGAGAAGCUUGCUUUUCUGAUGUUAGCGGCGGACGGGUGAGUAACACGUGGAUAACCUACCUAUAAGACUGGGAUAACUUCAGGAAACCGGAGCUAAUACCGGAUAAUAUUUUGAACCGCAUGGUUCAAAAGUGAAAGACGGUCUUGCUGUCACUUAUAGAUGGAUCCGCGCUGCAUUAGCUAGUUGGUAAGGUAACGGCUUACCAAGGCAACGAUGCAUAGCCGACCUGAGAGGGUGAUCGGCCACACUGGAACUGAGACACGGUCCAGACUCCUACGGGAGGCAGCAGUAGGGAAUCUUCCGCAAUGGGCGAAAGCCUGACGGAGCAACGCCGCGUGAGUGAUGAAGGUCUUCGGAUCGUAAAACUCUGUUAUUAGGGAAGAACAUAUGUGUAAGUAACUGUGCACAUCUUGACGGUACCUAAUCAGAAAGCCACGGCUAACUACGUG
rnacentral:rRNA from 1 species